GUAGGUGGCAAGCGUUGUCCGGAAUUAUUGGGCGUAAAGCGCGCGCAGGCGGUUCUUUAAGUCUGAUGUGAAAGCCCACGGGCUCAACCUGGAGGGUCAUUGGAAACUGGAGAACUUGAGUACAGAAGAGGAAAGCGGAAUUCCACGUGUAGCGGUGAAAUGCGUAGAGAUGUGGAGGAACACCAGUGGCGAAGGCGGCUUUCUGGUCUGUAACUGACGCUGAGGCGCGAAAGCGUGGGGAGCAAACAGGAUUAGAUACCCUGGUAGUCCACGCCGUAAACGAUGAGUGCUAAUGUUAGGGGUUUCCGCCCUUAGUGCUGCAGCUAACGCAUUAAGCACUCCGCCUGGGAGUACGGCCGCAAGGCU
rnacentral:rRNA from 1 species